GACCUCAGUUCAGGUGAGAUUACCGGCUGAAUUUAAGCAUAUUACUAAGCCGAGGAAAAGAAACUAACAAGGAUUCCCCUAGUAGCAGCGAGCGAACAGGGAAGAGCCCAGCGCUGAAUCCCCCGGGCCUCGCUCGGCGGGAAAUGUAGCGUUUGGGAGGGCCCGUCAACACGGCGACUCGCUCACUGGUUCAAGUCCAACUUGAAUGGGGCCACACAGAGGGUGACAGGCCCGUAGAGCAGGAGCGGUUGUCGUGUGGGUCUCUCCUUAGAGUCGGUUUGCUUGAGAGUGCAGACUUAAGUGGGUGGUAAACUCCAUCUAAGGGCUAAAUAUGACCACGAGACCGAUAGCACACAAGUACCGUGAGGGAAAGGUGAAAGAACUUUGAAGAGAGAGUUCAAGAGUACGUGAAACUGAAGUGGUGUAAACGGACGAGUUCGAAAAGUCCGAAUGGUGAGAUUCAAGCUUACCGUGCCGGUGGACCUCGGGUA
rnacentral:rRNA from 1 species